ensembl:rRNA 5S_rRNA 5S ribosomal RNA
GUCUACGGCCAUACCACCCUGAACGCGCCCGAUCUCGUCUGAUCUCGGAAGCUAAGCGGGGUCGGGCCUGCUUAGUACUUGGAUGGGAGACA